AGAAAACAAUAUGAAACUAGAAUUGCCAUUGCAAGCAAUAGCGGAUGUCACCCUGGUUCCCCAAUUGCCACUAAACGGUAGCCAUUUCGAAAUGUUCCAUCAGUAAAUGCAGAUAUAUCCAUAACAAAAGAUCUUUCUGUCACUUUUCAUAGCUUUAUGUACGUUUUUCUGUUUUCAACAAUUGUGCCGUUUCCAUGGCAACGGCGACCAUUUUGGAAAUUAAAAACUCAAAAGUCAAGUCUACAAUAGCUAGGCAACAUUUGUUUUAAGUUUCAAUAAAUUUGAAGCAUUUUGGAGUUUUUCAUAUUUUUGCUGUUUCCAUGGUAACGGCCGCCAUUUUAAAAAUUCCAAAGUCAAACUACUGCUGCAUAUUGUUCUCCCCCUAAGAAUAUAACAUUUAAUGUCUGUUGAACUAUUUUAACACUUAUGUUCUGGAAUGUUCCAUGAAAAAUUCACCCCCCCCUUAAAUUAUGUCUAGAGACCCCCCAGUUGAAAAAAAAAUGUACCAUGUUGAAGUGUGCAUGACUCUCUUAAUAUCAUAGAAGUUUCAUAUAAAUUGGAACACAUUUCUAUUUUUCACAUUUUUGCUGUUUCCAUGGCAAUGGCAGCCAUUUUUUUAAUUCCAAGGUAAGGUGCAAAACUGCACAUGGUGAUUAACAUUAUGUUAUAGUUCCAUCAACAUUGGUCCAUUCAAUUCCGAGAACUAAGCCGGACAAAAAGUGUGGAAUAAAAAUAAUAAGAAAAAAAGAAUCGUACAAUAACAAUAUGUCACCCGACCUCCGUCAGGGUGACAUAAUAAAAUAA
rnacentral:lncRNA from 1 species